rnacentral:lncRNA from 1 species
UAGGCCAUACAGUAGUAGCAGCAGCAACCGCAGGCAUCUGUGUGGCUGGAAAGAGCAUCAUUGGAGUUCCAGAAUCUAACGAUCGGGUGGCCCACUUGGGCCAGUCGCCCUAUAUCCCUCAGAAAGGGAAAGCAGAGGGCGGAGAGCCCUCUAUCUGAUCACGAUUCCACCCCCGCAGGGUUCCUACCUCUGUUCUGCCAGAAGACCCUCAAGAUUCAUGAUCGAGAGGAUCUCUUGGAUCAAAGGUUCCAAGAGAUGAACCGAU